rnacentral:rRNA from 1 species
CCUACGGGGGGCUGCAGUGGGGAAUCUUCCGCAAUGGGCGAAAGCCUGACGGAGCAAUGCCGCGUGAGCGAAGAAGGCCUUCGGGUCGUAAAGCUCUGUCCAGGGGGAAGAACAAAUGACGGUACCCCUGCAGGAGCCCCGGCUAACUACGUGCCAGCAGCCGCGGUAAUACGUAGGUGGCAAGCGUUAUCCGGAUUUAUUGGGCGUAAAGCGAGCGCAGGCGGUUUCUUAAGUCUGAUGUGAAAGCCCCCGGCUUAACCGGGGAGGGUCAUUGGAAACUGGGAGACUUGAGUGCAGAAGAGGAGAGUGGAAUUCCAUGUGUAGCGGUGAAAUGCGUAGAUAUUGGGAGGAACACCAGUGGCGAAGGCGACUACCUGGACGAUAACUGACGCUGAGGCACGAAAGCUAGGGGAGCAAACAGGAUUAGAUACCCCAGUAGU